AAGAAAACAAAAGGGCACCUAAGAAAAGCUGAGAUAGGUGGGCAAGAAAGGCUUUCUAGAAGACAAGAUGAAAGUGCAUAUGUGUCAGCCAAGAGGGUAUGCAGAGAAGACCCAAGCAUUAUACACCCAUCUUUUAUGAGAUGGGACAGGUAGGCACAAGUCAUCCCCACCCUUGUCUGGGGGUGAGGACCCUGGAGGACACAGUGGCUAGCUGCCUCAGAUUAAAAUAUGGCCUGGCCCAGUACCGAGGAUGCUGCUAGGAGCUGAGAGGACAUUGAUGCGCUGAAGGUGGAUGUGCUGACUCUCACUCCUGUUGGUUGGACUGUCAACAUGGAUUGACACUGACCUGUCAGCGUGAUUGACACACUACUCCUUGUUCCUCCUGUUCCCACUCGAGAUGCCGCUCUGUCUUGGUUCCCUCCCACGUUAUUGGCAUUGUCUUCCUCUUGGGGAGACUUGGGCUCAGUCUCAGUCCCUCCCCUGUACUGGGAGCAUGGGCUCAUUGUGUGGUCACCCUGGUUUCCAGCCUUAACUACCGUACAUUUGCUGAUAUCUUCAGCAUUCUCUCCCACCAAUUAUCUUGAUUCACAUUUUCAAUGACAUAAGUGACACUUAUAUGUAAAUGAAUAAACGUAUCACACACGCAAAUAUCUAGUAAACAUCCAACAGGUAAUAGCCCCACACUUUGGAUUUCUUCCCUCCCUCUUUAUUCUCUACCAACAGCUCUUGAUCUCAAUAUAGUUUUGUGUGAAAAGUACCUUUUGAUGCAGGGUACCAUUUUCCUAUUACUUAGGGCAAACAUAUAGGACUCAUCCUUGAGUCUUCUCAUUCCCUAAAUUCUACAUCUAAAUUGACUCCAUGUCUUAACUACAUUUCUUUCAAAAUAUGUCCUGAAUCUGUUUUUUUUACCACUGAUGUUUCAUUCCAAGACAUGGUCAUCUUUUGCAUAGACAGCUGUGAUUGUCUUCUGACCAGUGCCUCCAGGACACACUCGCUCUCCAAAGCCAAUUAACAAAGCUGCAUGAUUAAAAACUAGCCAACCAAACUAGCAAACACACAAGCAAACAGAAAUCAGCUCAUGCUACUUUCCUCUUCAAACACCUCCCACGAUUUCGGACAAGAAUGAAUGAUGAACUCUCCCCCAUCUCUUAAAGUCCCAUGAGUCUGACUCCCACUUACCUCUCUGACCUCAUAGAUCACUACUGUCCCUCUUACUUUCCUGAAGACACAUCAGUGUUUUAUCUACUCUGAACAGGACCAUUAAUCUUAGGACCUUUGCACUGGCUACCACUGGUCAGGACUGUUUGUCUCAGAUCAUCAAUAGCUUUUUGUCACUAGUUCACUGAAACAAUAAGUAUUUUGGCUUCUCUGACUCUCAGAUGCCCCUUUCUGUGAGAUGAUGUAAGGAUAGCCUUAGGCCUUAGGAUAGCCUAAGCAACUCCAUUUUAAAACUCCAGUUUGAAACCUGCAGUCUCACCAGGUACCACUAUGGAGCCCUCCAGUAUGGCCCUCAGGCACAAACAAGUCACUUCUCUCCACCCUGACAAACUCAGAGUGAAGUCUCUGUUUUUUUUUGCCCUCGCCCUGAUAAGAGCUAGAAGCAAGAAAAUCAGGGCGGGGACCACCAGACCAGAUGCUUUAACCUCAGGAUGAAUGACGUCACUGAGAAAUCAAGUAGUAGCUAACGGGGAUUGAAAGGGUGGUCAGAAGCCCCCAAAUUUAGUAUAAAUAAUGGAGCAAAUGAACAGACAUUUAGCCAGCCGACACUGAUGCACAUAAGCCUGAGAGCCUGAGGAGGACCUGGACUGACAUCCCAACUCUUCUCAGCAGCCUGAUCCUCUGCGUUGUUCUCAAGGCUCUCAAACUCUACAGCAGCCUUUUGACUCUGGUGAGACAAGGACUCAGCUCCACCCCAGGAAAAGCCUGCCUUGGUUCCUGAUCUGAUCACAUGGUCUGAGUGAGUGUGCAUCUGCUGGACUUAGAGCUUAAGGCUUGAGACUUUUGAUGUGACAUUUGAGCUUAGCAUGCAGAGGGAAUGUCUGCCAUGAACCUGGCAUGAUUAAGUGUGUUUGCAAUGCUUAGAAGCAAUCUAGAAUUGUUUGCUGUGAAUUAAUUAUGUCCAUUUCAGUGCCUAGCAUUGAGGAUUGUCAUUUUCUUGAUUAAGAAACUAUAGAGUGAAAUUGUAUUGAGUGAUUUGAAUGAAUAAAGCAUUGAA